AUUGAACGCUGGCGGCAGGCCUAACACAUGCAAGUCGAACGAGUGGCGGACGGGUGAGUAAUGUCUGGGAAACUGCCCGAUGGAGGGGGAUAACUACUGGAAACGGUAGCUAAUACCGCAUACCAUCGGAUGUGCCCAGAUGGGAUUAGCUAGUAGGUGGGGUAACGGCUCACCUAGGCGACGAUCCCUAGCUGGUCUGCUCGGGUGACCAGCCACACUGGAACGUAGACACGGUCCAGACUCCUACGGGAGGCAGCAGUGGGGAAUAUUGCACAAUGGACGCAAGCCUGAUGCAGCCAUGCCGCGUGUAUGAAGAAGGCCUUCGGGUUGUAAAGUACUUUCAGCGGGGAGGCGUUACCCGCAGAAGAAGCACCGGCUAACUCCGUGCCAGCAGCCGCGGUAAUAC
rnacentral:rRNA from 1 species